GACGAACGCUGGCGGCGUGCUUAACACAUGCAAGUCGAACGAAGAGCGACGGAAGCUUGCUUCUAUCACUCUUAGUGGCGAACGGGUGAGUAACGCGUAAUCAACCUGCCCUUCAGAGGGGGACAACAGUUGGAAACGACUGCUAAUACCGCAUACGAUCUAAUCUCGGCAUCGAGGAUGGAUGAAAGGUGGCCUCUACAUGUAAGCUAUCACUGAAGGAGGGGAUUGCGUCUGAUUAGCUAGUUGGAGGGGUAACGGCCCACCAAGGCGAUGAUCAGUAGCCGGUCUGAGAGGAGGAACGGCCACAUUGGGACUGAGACACGGCCCAGACUCCUACGGGAGGCAGCAGUGGGGAAUCUUCCGCAAUGGACGAAAGUCUGACGGAGCAACGCCGCGUGAGUGAUGACGGCCUUCGGGUUGUAAAGCUCUGUUAAUCGGGACGAAAGGCCUUCUUGCGAAUAGUGAGAAGGAUUGACGGUACCGGAAUAGAAAGCCACGGCUAACUACGUG
rnacentral:rRNA from 1 species